GUAUAGAUAUGUACUGUCAUAUACUGGAUAGACGUGUGCUUUCCCUAGUAUCAUUGCUAUAGUGUGAUGUAUGAUUAAUCCCUUGUACAGGAAUCCUGUUUUACGUUUCUUGAUGAGAAAUGUGUGAGUUAGGCUUAAUGUAUAGCUUUGAUGUGAUACCAGUGGAUUGUGUUACAGAGUAAAAGGGUUUCAAUCCCUUGAUCCACAGCAGAUAGUAGUCCCUGGUAUAGGCCCUGAGGGCCAUUUCAGAUUGAUAUAUCUGAGUAGCAGUAGUUAAGCCUACAGAGUUUUACAGGAUUGUUGAGUAUCUUGUAUCAUGUAUGGGAUUUAUCAGGUACACAAAGAGUAUAGUUGGCUGACUACGGGUCCCGGCGGCCUUAAGCCGAUCUGGAUCCUAGUGCCAGUGAUGG
rnacentral:lncRNA from 1 species